CUAUGAUGCCAAAGAAGGAGAUUGGAGCUGAUCGCUUCAUUGAAGCCCAUCCUCAUUACGACGGUCGCGGCUCCCUCUGCAAUCAUUGAUUCUGGUGUUGAUCCGGCUGCUGCUGGCUUGCAACUAACUUCAGAUGGGAAGCCAAAGAUCUUGGAUGUUAUUGACUGUACUGGUAGUGGAGAUGUUGAUACCUCAAAAGUGGUGAAGGCUGAUGAGGACGGUCGGAUUCGCAGAGCUUCUGGUU